CUUGGUCAUUUAGAGGAAGUAAAAGUCGUAACAAGGUUUCCGUAGGUGAACCUGCGGAAGGAUCAUUCAUAAUAAGUGUUUUAUGGCACUUUUUAAAUCCAUAUCCACCUUGUGUGCAAUGUCAGUCGAUCCUCUUCAUGGAGAUCGACCAAACAUCAACCUUUAUUUUUUAACUCUUUGUCUGAAAAAUAUUAUGAAUAAACAAUUCAAAAUACAACUUUCAACAACGGAUCUCUUGGCUCUCGCAUCGAUGAAGAACGCAGCGAAAUGCGAUACGUAAUGUGAAUUGCAGAAUUCAGUGAAUCAUCGAAUCUUUGAACGCAUAUUGCGCUCUUUGGUAUUCCGAAGAGCAUGCUUGUUUGAGUAUCAGUAAACACCUCAAAGCUUUUGGAUUUUUUAAUCGAAAAGCUUUGGACUUGAGCAAUCCCAACACCAAUCUUUUUGAGAUCGGUGGCGGGUUGCUUGAAAUGCAGGUGCAGCUGGACAUUCUCCUGAGCUAAAAGCAUAUUCAUUUAGUCCCGUCAAACGGAUUAUUACUUUUGCUGCAGCUAACAUAAAGGGAGUUUGACCGUAUUGGCUGACUGAUGCAGGAUUUCACAAGGGUCGGCAACGAUUCUUGUUAAACUCGAUCUCAAAUCAAGUAAGACUACCCGCUGAACUUAAGCAUAUCAAUAAGCGGAGGA
rnacentral:rRNA from 1 species